rnacentral:lncRNA from 1 species
AGAAAGCUAGAACUGGACAGUAUUCGGUUACAAGAGAGACUUGAGCUUGCACGGAACACAACAAGGUAAUCUUGAGAACAAUGCUGAACUUGAGGACGAAGUCUCUGAGGAUGAACAAGCGUAUUCUGAUGGAACAGAGAACGAACUGAAUAUGUUAACCGAGUCAGAGGACAGUGGAUUUAUAUCUGAAAAAGUAAAUGUUGCAAAAGAAGACCCAACGAAUUAUAGGUUGGUAAAGCUCUGACUACAAAUGCAGAUCCAGAUCAUGCAAUUAUUGGCAAAUCAAAAGACAGAGACAAUAUUUCUCAUGAUAUCGAGCCUGAAGAUAGCACUGCAUUUCAUUAAGAACCUGAGGACGAUACAUUUCCUGAUGAACCAGAUAACACUAUUGGAUUUUCUGAUGAACCAGAUAACACUAUUGGAUUUUCUGAUGAAGCUGAUAACACUAUUGGAUUUUCUGAUGAAGCUGAAAACAAUGCACAGUUUUCUGAUGAUCCAGAGGACAGCUCACAAUACAUUAAUGCUCAUGAGCGAUAUGAAGAUGAGCAUUCAUCAGCUGAGAGUGGUCUGAUGAUUGAUGGUGAAGGUGAAGAAAGUAAGAAAAUAAGAAGCUUUGCUGGAAGAUCAUGAAUCUUGAGUCUAAUGAGGAAAUGCUCCUCAAGAAGCAAAAAGAUCUUGAAGUGAAUUUUUAUAAACCAAGGAAACAGUGAAAGUUGCAGACGAUAAGCUAAUCCGUUAUCAAUGGCAAAUAAAAGCUCUCAAGGCCAUUGGAAGAGGAUUCAGGGACAAGUAUCAGAAGGCUGAGACUCAAGUUUCACCCCUCAACGAGAAGAAUGCAGAUUUGGAGUUGGCUAAUCAAAAUAAUUUGGAGGUUUUGGAAUCCGCAAAGAAUAACGAAGAACGAAAGAUGGAAUCAAAGGAUGAAGAAAUUGGCCAUCUUCAAUCAAUUGGUUUUAAGAUGAGAAUGACCGGAUUAAAGACGAAAAUAAGGGGCUUUUGGAGAAGCAAAAAGAUCUGGAAGUGAAUGUUCGUAAACUAGAAGAGCAGUGUAAAGUUGCAGUUGAUAAACAUAAAACGCAAACAUGUAGUCUCAAGACCAUUGGAAGACAAUUUAGGGACAGGUUCGAGAUUGCUCAGACUAAAGUUUCUUCUCUCUAAGCUGAAACUGAGAGACUAAGCGAAAAGAAUGCAGAUUUGGAGUUGACUAAUCUAAAAAGUUUAGAAGCUUUAGAAUCCUCAAAGAAUAAAGAAGAAAGAAAGAUGAAAGCAAAGAAUGAAUCAAUUGGACAACUUCAAUCCGAGAGUCUCUUUACAUUUUACUUACGGGAUGGUAAACGUAAUUUUAAGUGACCCUUUAUGACCACUGACCAAGUCCGAUUCGCGACCGUAUCUUCAAAUUUGCAUAUUUGCCUUUAGAUAGAAAUGGUUGUCAGAAUUAGCAACAUUAAACAGGGAGUUUUUUUUUUGAUUUUUGUGAUUUUUGAAAAUCUUAUGUCUCAGCCAUUUAAAGAAAAUCUUUUUAAUUUAAAAAAAGUUCCGAAUAGCAUUUUAAUGGACGUAGAUCAGGUUAUAAUUGAGUACUGUUGUGAAUCUGUCACGUCUCUCUUUUACAUGGCGGGUCAUUUGAAAUUACAAUGUAAGUCCAGUACCAAGAUUAGUAGUUUUUAGGGUUUCCAACACAAGUGGGUUUUUGUUUGCAAGACUUGUAAUUCCGUGGAAUUCCGCGCAACAGAAUUCCGAGUGCAAACCCGGUAGAAUUCCUAUAUUUUUUAACUAUUUGAUUAAAUAUGAUGCAUCUAAUUUUAAUACUAGCAUGAGAACUAUGUACCUUAUCUCAUCAACUUCAUACACCACUUGCACCACUCUUCUUUUCAUGCAUCUUAAAUCGUUAAUGUAUGCUAGUCUUUUCCAACUCUAUAAUAUCCAUUUUAUUUUAUCAUUUAGAACAUGUAAUUUUUUCAUAGUGUAAUGAUCCAUUAUAUUGUUAGUUAUUUAUCUUAAAGGGAGUGUUCGAGAAAAAUGAAAGGGGUAUAGGCUUA